CCCCUUCCGGCCACGGCGGCAGCGCCCUGCGGGUGGGUGGGCCGGCGGGCUAGCGGACGCCGCGGCCCCCGAGCCUAGCGGAGCCCCCCGGUGGAUCCGCGCGCUUCUCUCCUCCCGCAGGAGGGGCCCCGGCGUUCUACCUGGCCCGGUGCGGCGGAAGGCCCCUACCCGCCCGUGCCCCCUGCAGCAGCGCGGCGUCGGGUUCCCAGGGAGAGGCCUCUGCCUCUUUGUGUAGAUUCUUUGUGGGAACCCCGGCGGGUGGGGACAGAAGCCUCCGCUGCCCCUGCCUCUCGCCCCCGCCGCACCCCGCCGUCGCCUGGGACCCGUCCCGGAGAGGCCCAGAGGGGAUCGGAAAGAACCAGAUGCUCAGGGGCCCUUGGAAUCCCGUCCAGUUCUCAGAGCCCCAGGGUUUCCUUGGGCACAGGUGGGGGAGUGAUGGGCUCCCAGGCAAGCGUGUUCCGGCCCUCAGGGUCCCGCCCAGAGUGUCAGGGCCCCUGCUUUACUCAGUUCACCCUUCAUCAUCUGAGCGGGAAGGGGAGCUGGCACACCUUGUCUUGCUCAGGCUCACUCUGGUCUGGCCCAGUGACGUUACUCUCAUCAGUCACCCCAAAUGAAACAGCGCUGAAGUCCCUAGAUGGAGUUCUACUGGAGGAAGAAUGGAACUCUGACGACCUGGAAACAUUGACUUGGGCCAGACAGUUCGAACCAGUGCUUCUGGAGACGGCAUUCUACUGAGGCCCUGCCAGUGACCUUGGUCAGGGAUCUGCCCCUUCCUGAUUCCAGCCUAUUCAGUGCAGAGUGAAUGGGUUGGACCAGUCAUCUGGAAGGUCCAGGGUGACCUUGGGUGGGAGUUCAAGAGGACCCUGCAGCACCUCCUCCCCUUUGUCUGGGCUGGUGUGUGGUGAGGUGCUGGCUGUCCCUGAGCUCCAGGCUGUGGUGGGGGCUGCCGUGCCCUGGGAUGAAUGGAUUCACGGAUCUCGAGGAAGCUGGUGAGAUUUGCUGGCCCGAGACCGGAUGCCCCUCUUUGGAGGCACAGGAGAGUGAGUGGAGCGAGAUUUAUAGCAAGGUCUUCCUCAGGAGGAAUGAAACACGACCUGGAGAGCCCGCCUGCUGGCAAUAAGGCAGCUGAGGUGCCUGCGUGGUCAAUGUCCGCAAGGUCAUGGUCAUUUGGUGACCUUCGCGGUGCUCAGUCCCUUCCUUCUCCGGAAUCAGCUCUGAGCCUCCUGGACGCACGCCUGUCUUUCUUCCAUCUCAUUCAUCACAGGAACAACCACAGUCGUCACCUGCAAGCACUGAAUGUUGACCACAGACUGCUAAUCCAUCCAAAAUGUUCUCUGUCACCACUAUCCUGCAAGAAUCCCAGGGGAAAUGAAGCCUGGAAGAAUCGUUAACUCCGCAGACCAGAGAAGCCAAGCCAGAACCAGAGUUGGCACGGGCUCCUGCAGCUAGAGGAGGGCUUCCGUGACUGAGAAUGGCCCUGGGGGAGUGGACACGCUGACGGGGGCAAAACCAAGGCUGGUGGCCUUUUGCAACUCAGAGAUGUGCUUCUUUAUGCAAUGUUUACUUAAAACAAAAAAUAACUGCAAACAUUUAAAAAUCAGUGCUUUU